rfam:Brassica napus, WGS project CCCW01000000 data, contig: 3055
AUACCUUUCUCGGCCUUUUGGCUAAGAUCAAGUGUAGUAUCUGUUCUUAUCAGUUUAAUAUUUGAUAUGUGGUUCAUUGGGCCACACGAUAUUAACUCUAUUUUUUAAGGGAGAAUAUCCAUCAAGAUAGCUUGUUAUCUGGAUCUUCAUGAAUUGCCCAUGUGUUGCACUAUAGCACGGGCAGGCUCAUCCUGC